GGCGAACGGGUGAGUAACGCGUGAGGAACCUGCCUCAAAGAGGGGGACGAACAGUUGGAAACGACUGCUAAUACCGCAUAAGCCCACGGGUCGGCAUCGACCAGAGGAAAAGGAGCAAUCCGCUUUGAGAUGGCCUCGCGUCCGAUUAGCUAGUUGGUGAGGUAAUGGCCCACCAAGGCAACGAUCGGUAGCCGGACUGAGAGGUUGAACGGCCACAUUGGGACUGAGACACGGCCCAGACUCCUACGGGAGGCAGCAUG
rnacentral:rRNA from 1 species